AAAAUAAGGUCGGGUUACCCGAACCUGACCUGACUAACCCGAAAAUAAUAAGGAAAAAAAAAAUUAAAAAAACCCCUAAAGUAACCAGCCCAAGCCCAAAUUCAUGCCCAUAUAAAAAGUAAAACCCUAGGGUUCUUUUAUCAGUUGUAGCCGCUCAACACCCCUCCUCUCUCUCUCUCUCUCUUAAUUUUAUGAUUUUCUCCCUUUAAAAUCUCAAGCUCUUUACGCUUCUUUAAGGGCUUCAAUCAUCAAUCUUUAAGAAGCCAAGAUCCUCAAUUGCAAAGCUUGUUAUUAUCAUGAACAAGGAUGGUACGCCACCAUUUGCAUCGCCUGCCCGAAAUUGAAGUUUUUGUUUAUAACCUGUAAAAACAUUUAUAUCUUUUGAGCUUUUUGUAAUUUGCUAUGUAGAUCUGACAUUAAAUAGACUUGGGUUUGUAAUAUAUUAAGAGUUAAGUAAUGUUUAUCAGCUUUUUGUAUGGAUUUAA